rnacentral:lncRNA from 1 species
AAAACUGGUAUCACAAAUGUGUAUUUAAGAAACAUUUGUUUAAACAGUAUAGUGCUCUAUACAAGGCAUAAUUAUGAAUAAUUAUUUGCCAUCAAGAGCGUUCUGAUUUUUGGUGAUGCUUCCCAGGGUUUACUAGGUGUAGAAAAUUCACAGGUGUUUUACCAUUACCUUUUUCUAGGACGAUGUAGGUUGCCAAAGGCCAGACAAACUGGCUUUUAUCCUAUGAAGCAAAAUGGAGAAUCAGAUUCUUGACUCCUGGUAUUUCUUUGAAUGUCCAUAGGCAAAACCUCACCAAUCCAUAGGUAUCAUUAAUAGACUUCACAUUCACACACACAUACUCACGCGUGCGCACAUACACACACAAACACCCAUUAUUUCUGUGCUUGCCCUUGCCUAGCUCUAAUUCCAAAAACAUGCCUCUGACUUAGUAGAUUUAGGACUCCAAAUCAGAAAAACCUAACAAUCAAUCCUAGUUUAAACACUGUAAUAAUUACGGUAUGUUUGGAAACCCACCCUCUGUAGUAGUCAUCCUAGUGCCUAGGAAAAAAAAUAAGAUGGUAAAUACAUACCACGUAACACAGUUGUAUUCCUGGCAUUAUCAGAACUGCAUGGGAAGAUAGCAACGGGAAGUAGCUCCUGCACCAGUGAUGAUAAGAACCAACCGAACUUUAUGGGAAGGGAACAGAAUCUGUAGCGUUGGGAGGAUCUAUGGCAUACCUAAAUAUGACCACAGAAUGCACCAGUUGUGACUGCAAAGGAGUGACAUUGUCAAAGUUUUCCAUUGUUACAUCAGGGGAACUACCACCAGCAGAAAGGAAAACCCAGAGCCUUCUGUGGCCUCUCAGCUAUUGUCAAAGGGAACACAAUGACUUUCUAGGGUUUAUAAGCUGGGAGCUUUAUCUGGUGCACUCUCCAUUCUUGCCUGAUGGUUGGUCAUGAGCCUUUCUGGUGGAUAAUGCCUCGUUUUCAUUCUGGAAGCAAACGAUGGGGAAAAGAGAGCAUCUUUCUAUCUCCUGUCAAGGUGUCAUCCAGCAAACACAUGCACGCCGCAUACCAAUAGAUUGCCAAGGAAUGGUAGCACUGCAUCAGCAUUUCUCCCGAAAUGCUUCCUCUGCUGGAGUCACCUAGCUGGCUGUUUAAAUCUGGAAUU